CCUUCCCCUAAGAGGCACAGCAGGUGUGGCUGCUGUGUCACAUGUCUGCCAGUAGGUGGCAGAGAAGAGAGCGACUAUGUCUAUGCCCAGCAUCCUGACCUGUGAACAUCUGAGUGAUUAAUAAGUAGCCUGACAUC